rnacentral:tRNA from 1 species
ACUUUACUUUAAAGACCAUGCAGUUUCGACCUGAUAAAAGGCUAAAGCCCUUUUUAU